GAGUUUGAUCCUGGCUCAGGACGAACGCUGGCGGCGUGCCUAACACAUGCAAGUCGAGCGGAGAUAAGGAGCUUGCUCCUUAUCUUAGCGGCGGACGGGUGAGUAACACGUGAGUAACCUGCCUUACAGAGGGGGAUAACACACCGAAAGGUGUGCUAAUACCGCAUAACCUUACGGUGUCGCAUGACACUGUAAGCAAAGGAGUAAUCCGCUGUUAGAUGGACUCGCGUCUGAUUAGCUAGUUGGUGAGGUAAUGGCUCACCAAGGCGACGAUCAGUAGCCGGACUGAGAGGUCGAUCGGCCACAUUGGGACUGAGACAC
rnacentral:rRNA from 1 species